rnacentral:lncRNA from 1 species
CACUCGUGUAGCAGCAAGAUAUUAGCACAUAUGGAUUAGAUUGCUGUAAACAGAUCUGUGGUUCAGGUUAAUUGUGGAAGCAGCCCCAUCCCCUCCCUGCCAUGCUGCUGCGCGCCGCGAAGAUCUGGGCUCCCAACAGUGCCAUCUGCCAGCAAUCGCACCACACAGCACCUUUUAUCUUUUUUUCCCUGCCACUGCCGACAAGAGAUAACUUUUUUUAUUAUAGAUGUCUUAAAAUUAACGGCCCUUGGUCUCCUCUCGCUCUUUGGGUGUAAAUGAGGGCCACAUGAACUAGAGGAAGCUCCAGCUUGGCAACUUAUGGUUGUUCCUCAGACAUCACCUCUUAAGCCUUCAGCUGACGUUCAGAAAAGCUCAAGGAGAAAUUCUGCAAGAAAGCAGGAACAACAGCACAGCAACAUGAAAACUCACAUGGUAGGGUUUCAAUGGGAGACGAGGUGAUCUUACUGGAUAUGUGCAGCUGGAAACUUGGCUUUUAGCAAACAUACAACCUUUUGCCUUCCUGUGCGUGGUAGAGGCAGCUGCUUUAGAACUGGAUCCUGGCUGGAGGGGAAAAUCUCACAUCAGAGGGGACUUUGUCAAGACUACCUCUAAGAAACUUAGGCCAAUCUCAAGGUUUAUUGCCAUUAUCUCAUGGAGGAGAAGCGGUUAUGCGUGAAAUACUGUUUGUUCACACCGGUAGAUACUAUUAACCUUAAAUCACGAUUAAGCACAGAAAUGAAUGAGUUAUUCAGAAGAACAUGCUCAAGCAUUUGAAAGGCUGGAGACAACAGAAUGAUGAAUAGCAUCGUGAUUCUCAAAUGCAUGUGCCCUUCUUUUUGAUGACGUAAGUUACUGGGUCAAGAAUUGCUAUCGUUGGUAAAAUUAACACCACAAGAAUGGGUAAGUUCAAUCUGACGUAUAAACCACUUUCAC